rnacentral:rRNA from 1 species
GACGAACGCUGGCGGCGUGCUUAACACAUGCAAGUCGAACGGAAAGGCCCUGCUUUUGUGGGGUGUUCGAGUGGCGAAGGGGUGAGUAACCCGUGAGUAACCUGCCUUGGACUUGGGGAUAACUUCAGGAAACUGGGGCUAAUACCGGAUAGGAGCUCCUGCUGCAGGGUGGGGGUUGGAAAGUUUAGGCGGUUGGGGAUGGACUCGCGGCUAAUCAGCUUGUUGGUGGGGUGGUGGCUUACCAGGGCUUUGACGGGUAGCCGGCCUGAGAGGGUGACCGGCCACAUUGGGACUGAGAUACGGCCCAGACUCCUACGGGAGGCAGCAGUGGGGAAUAUUGCACAAUGGGCGGAAGCCUGAUGCAGCAACGCCGCGUGCGGGAUGACGGCCUUCGGGUUGUAAACCGCUUUCGCCUGUGACGAAGCGUGAGUGACGGUAAUGGGUAAAGAAGCACCGGCUAACUACGUG